rnacentral:tRNA from 1 species
GCGCUCCUAGCUCAGUUGGUUAGAGCGUUCGCCUCACACGCGAAAGGUCACAAGUUCGAAUCUUGUGGAGCGCA